GGGCCAGCCGUAGUAUCCCUAAGGUCCUACUCCCCAAGAGGCCCAUCCCCAGGGAGCUCAUGCUGCGGGGCUCUGAGCACGCCCAUCUGCUGGCCCCUCUAUGACGAACGCCCCGGACCAGCGCAUGGUCCGGGGCGUUCGUUU
rnacentral:sRNA from 1 species